rnacentral:tRNA from 1 species
GUGUUUGUAGUUUAAUGGAAAAAUGUCUAUCUUCGGANUAGAAAAUAGGGGUUCAAAUCCCUUCGAACACU